rnacentral:misc_RNA from 1 species
GAACGCACAUUGCGCCUCCUGGUAUUCCGGGAGGCAUGCCUGUUCGAGCGUCAUUUACACCCUCAAGCCUAGCUUGGUGUUGGGCGUCUGUCCCGCCGUUCUCGCGCGCGGACUCGCCUCAAAGUCAUUGGCGGCGGUCGUGCCGGCCCCUCGCGCAGCACAUUUGCGCUUCUCGGAGGCCCGGCGGAUCCGCGCUCCAGCAAGACCUUUCACGACUUGACCUCGGAUCAGGUAGGGAUACCCGCUGAACUUAAG